rnacentral:lncRNA from 1 species
AAACGAACGCCAGCGUCAGCAUCAGCGCGAGCCGGUGUCCAAGAUGGUAGCCCACAUAAAGCAUUUCCUCGAUUUCCUAAAUGUUCCUGCGGAGAGCUUAAAUAUCCAGUUCAAAGAGCAGGUCCCCACGGUGAAGGUAGACUCUGGGAUUGAACUAACAGGAUGUGCGCCGAUCGGACGCUACAUCGCAGAGCAGUCUGAAAAAGGACGGGCCGUACUCGG